GCUAAGUUCUGACACCGGAAGGUCAGACGGAGUAUCAAGGUUGCAUUAUAUAAAGGCAGAGAAAUAUAUGCUGGAAAGCUGAGGUGGAAAGGUAGUUUUUCCAGAAGAGAAACCAUGAAGACCUUAUUCGUUUUUGCCCUUGUGAUGAGUGUUUGGUCUUGUUCUGGGUUGCCGGUGUAUGACUAUGAACCAUCCAUCGCGGAAGAAGCUCUGCGUGCCUCCAUUGGAAGAGUGAAUUCUAGAUCACAAUGGCCUGCCCUGUUUGGCGUCGUCAGGAGCUACGUUAGAGGGGUUGACCUGUUGGAUAACAAUGACUACAGUAUAGUGCUGGACUUCAUUGUUCGAGAAACCACCUGCACUAAAGAUUCAGAGAAGGAUCCGUCCUUGUGUGACUUCAGAGUGGGACGCUAUGUGCAAACGGCCUUCUGCAGAAGUACAGUGCGGGUCUCUGAAGAGCAGAUACAGAACUUGGCAGUUUACUGCAGCCAGGAUGGGUCCAGCUCCGAAUCCUCAAGCAGCGAGGAGAGGAUGUUCAUGGAAAUGAUGGCCCCAAACAGAAGGGGUGACAGUCGCAAUGAAGCUCAACUUGCUCCUGAGGCCUUCUCUUCAGGGAGAAGACGCCAGAGCUAUAAAGCUCAGCGCCGAUCCAGUAAAGCCAACUCCUACACAUUGGCAUAACCCCACUCAGAUAAAUACACUUGCUUGAAUGCGCCUUCUAUCAAGCUGGCUUUUUUCCCAUUACAAGGCUCAAGAUGACAAAACUAAAGCUAAAUCAAGAGUAAAUAAAAGUAAAUUGAAGAUCCAACAGGACCAGAAGCCAAAGAACCAGCACAUGAAGGAGGAACGUGACAGCAAUUAACUGUAUUACAUCAGCAAAAGCUAUUCUGUAACAUAUUGACUCCUCCACACCCACCAAUACUUUCCAUUUCAUGGCGAAUGUCCAUUGAAGUGUGCACACAAAUGUGUGGAAAUGGGCAUUCGAUCGCAUUGCUGUAUAUUAGGGCUCAUUUGGAGAGCGGUCUCAUGCGCCUAGCAUAACUGUCCCCAAUGUGUGGUGCAUCGUCUCAGAAUGGUGCUAUUAAAGGAUCAUUAUAGCAUCUACAUGUGCUGGGUGGCUCACUGGCCGGCGACACUCAUCGCUCUCUGUUGCGCUUGUUACUAACUCUUGUUCAAUUUAAAACACAACAAACAAUUUCUGCCCUCUAUGCCUUUCUUUCCACACCCAAAACGGGAAGGGGGUCUAGUGUCUCUCGAGAAGGUAUGUGCAAAGGGGGCAACGGCUGUGUGGAUUUAUUUAGCCGUCUUCGUGGGAAAAGAUCAGCUUUUCAGAUAAAAGGUACGUGCCGCCUCUCAAACAUUGGGGUACAAUUUACUGACAAGUCCUACUCUCUAAAUUUACACAAGGGGACAGUAAAUCAGAGUAAUUGUACCAGCUUCCUCUUGCUUUAUUGUAAUCUCCCAUCACAAUUAAUUAAUUUGUGUAAUUCUUUGCAUAUGCAAAUAACUCAGUGUAGUGUGUGGUGGAAGGGGGGAAAGGAAGGGCAUACUGAAAAGGGGAAGAGAGAACCGUGCUUCUGGCUACUUGCUAGCAGCCAGGAUCCUUCCCUUAGAGCCCUGCGUCAGUAGCUUAGUGUGAUAGUAAAUUCCUUAGGGGUGGUACCAGGCUGAGUAAUCUUCCACAGAGCAGCAGUGACACUGUCUGCUACUACCUCCUAAGAGGUGGAGUAAACACUAUAGUCCUUAAAAACAGCAAAGAAUCCUGUGGCACCUUAUAGA